rnacentral:rRNA from 1 species
GACGAACGCUGGCGGCGUGCCUAAUACGUGCAAGUCGAGCGGGCCUCCGGAGGUGCUUGCACCUCCGGAAGGCCAGCGGCGGACGGGUGAGUAACACGUGGGCAACCUGCCUUUGAAGCCGGGAUAACACCGGGAAACCGGUGCUAAUACCGGAUACGUCCUCUUUCGCGCCUGCGAGAGGGGAGAAAGACGGUCUUUAAGGCCGUCGCUCAAAGAGGGGCCCGCGGCGCAUUAGCUGGUUGGUGGGGUAAGGGCCUACCAAGGCGACGAUGCGUUGCCGACCUGAGAGGGUGAUCGGCCACACUGGGACUGAGACACGGCCCAGACUCCUGCGGGAGGCAGCAGUAGGGAAUCAUCCGCAAUGGGCGAAAGCCUGACGGUGCAACGCCGCGUGAGUGAGGAAGGUUUUCGGAUCGUAAAGCUCUGUUGUGAGGGAAGAACAGCUUCCGGAGGAAAUGCCGGAGGUUUGCCGGUACCUCACCAGAAAGCCCCGGCUAACUACGUGCCAGCCGCCGCCGUAA